UCUGGGAGGACUCACACUCCACUUGAACAUGAGAUGUUUUCAAAUUCCAGCAUGCUCUUGUAUCUCCAGUGUCCAGCCAGUGCUGUCAACCCCGGUUCAUCGUUGUCAUUUCUGGAGAAGUUCUGCCAAGAUAUUUCAGCUCAGGAUGGGUAUUUGCUCAGUUUCAUGAACCAGAAGUCGCCCAGUUCUUUGCAACAUUUGGCGCUAACCUCACAAUUGCAUGGAUGGAAGACAAUAGGAGCUCGGUAAAGCUUCCAUGAAGCGGAGAGAGCUUGAAUGGUCUGAAGUAAAAAGCAGUCUUGCUCAGUAAUUAACGGCUUCACAGAUCCCAUGUUCUUUGGAUGUGAGUGACAAUGGACGAUUGGAGAAAAAGACAAGCAUCUGGGCGGAGCAGCGAGGGCAAUUAGCGUCACCUCUGCUGUACUAUAAUUAUCACCUCCGCAGACGCCCUGGAGUCAUAAAUACGACGAGAGAAGGAGGAGAACACGAAAGGGGUUACGGUGUUGGAAGGUCAAGCUAAAUUUAGUUGUUACCUAUCACUAUCAGUGUCCACCACCGAUGCAAUGGCCAAUCGAAUCUCAAGUUCAUUUUAAGGAAAUGGUCUCAGUCAUAAGACUGUUAUGAACAAUCGAUUUCAAAAUAUCAACAUAAACUUAGGAUAAUAAAUUUCUCUCGAAUGCAUUAUUUUUUAAUCAAAAUUUGAUCCUUUUCAAA